rnacentral:rRNA from 1 species
GACGAACGCUGGCGGCGUGCUUAACACAUGCAAGUCGAACGAUGAAGCCUAGCUUGCUAGGUGGAUUAGUGGCGAACGGGUGAGUAAUACGUGAGUAACCUACCUUUAACUCUGGGAUAAGCCUGGGAAACUGGGUCUAAUACCGGAUACGACCAAUCUCCGCAUGGGGUGUUGGUGGAAAGCGUUAUGUAGUGGUUAUAGAUGGGCUCACGGCCUAUCAGCUUGUUGGUGAGGUAACGGCUCACCAAGGCGACGACGGGUAGCCGGCCUGAGAGGGUGACCGGCCACACUGGGACUGAGUCACGGCCCAGACUCCUACGGGAGGCAGCAGUGGGGAAUAUUGCACAAUGGGCGCAAGCCUGAUGCAGCGACGCCGCGUGAGGGAUGACGGCCUUCGGGUUGUAAACCUCUGUUAGCAGGGAAGAAGAGAAAUUGACGGUACCUGCAGAGAAAGCGCCGGCUAACUACGUG